UCAUAUGAUUUAGAGCUUGGAUAACCAGACUAAUUCCUGGUGACAGGUAUGAACUUUUAUCUUAUAGCAGUGCUAUGUCAUAUGGCUGUGACUACAACGGUACUUACCACUGUAACAUCCUUUGCUGGUCGAAGAGCAGAAUUGAGUACCCAGUUCCAGAACCUGAAGCUACUGCAGCUGCAUCUGCAGGAUGGUCCACUUCUGCUACUACCAUACCUGUGCAGUACUUGGAUACCCAGUACAAGAAAGAUGGACCUUUUCAAUUAGAAGCUUAUGUUCUUCAAGCCUGCAUAUCAGAAAAGAACUUCAGAUGAGGCUUCUAGGAGAGGACAAAAAAAAGGAAGAUAAGGUUUAUGAAGAACUGUUUUGAUUAAAAAUGAAAUCUUCAAAAGGAAAUUGAAACAAAAAAAAAAAGAUUGGAUGCAUUUACAUUUUGGCACUGGCUCAUAUGAAUUAUACUGUCAGAAAAGAAAUUAAUAAUGGUAAGAAUUUAAAAUAUAAUGGUUUAAAGUGCUUAGUUAAAAAACAUCAUUAAGGCACCUCCUGUGAUGAACACCUGCUAGAGACUCUGCACAGUGCAUUUCUGAACACUUGAGUUUAGAAACAUUGUUUUUACACUAAUUAACAAACUUUGGUCUGGGGUAGCAGGUGUGAAAUUGCUACCAUUUGAGAUUUUCAGCUGUGUUUUCUUAAACGAAUAAUAUACUACUUAACAGAGAAUGAAAAUAAAUACGGUUUAAGAAAUACUUGUUUCUCCA
rnacentral:lncRNA from 1 species